rnacentral:lncRNA from 1 species
AAUUUUUCGUAAACAAAAUUUAAUACAACCAUAUAGUCAAGUAAUAAUGGUUAAAAGACAUUUUAUUAGAUACAACUUUUAAAAAAUUAAACUAUGCAAGAAGUAUAUUUAAACAAAACAUGUAAGUAAGUAUUCACGUGCUACAACUUAACUAAGAACAAUUAAAUACAAAGCAUUCUUUCCACUAUGAAGACUCUGGAGCCUCUAAUUGAAAGCAAAUGACCUUAGGUCUAUACUAGUUGUAAAGCAGAUUAUACUUUUGUUCAACUCUAAAUUUGUAUUGUCUUAGAGCUCCAACAACUCUCAAUAAAAAUUUAAAUAAAGAAACCUUGGGGGAGGGGUGAUAGGGAAGGGGAGAGUAAGUGCUUUUUCAAAAAGGUAAAUGAAAAAGCCUGAAGAGGGAAAAAAUUGUACAUAAGUAUGGAACAAAAAUAAGUAUACUUUUUUGACAUUCGAUGUAGAUACUGCAAAUGAAUUUACACGGGUUUAAUCAAUGUAAGAUAGAUAUUUGUCUGAAUAUUUUAAAAAGCACCUAGGUAUCAAAAAAUAAAAACAAAAAAUAUAAUGAAACUCCAAACAUCCAACAAUCUCCCUUAACAUUCUCAUUCUGCCAAGCAACCACACGUUGGUGCUUAUUACACAAUUUAAGAAGGGGAAGUUUAUUUACUCUAUAGGAAACAAAUAUGAACCUUAUCUAAGGUAAGCUUCAUUUAGAUUGAAAAAAAAGUUGAAAUAGCACUAGAGAACUUAAGGCACAUAAACAAAUUCAGGUGCAGUUAUUUUGAAACCAUUAAAACAAAUUCUUUUCUUUGGAACAAUAUAUAAAAUAAGUUAUGAAUGUUGCUGUUUUUAUCAGCACUAGGAAAAUUUAAUAUCUAAGGCAAUCACACAAAUGUAAAAUGUUCAUAUAAAACAUUAAAAAAUGUCUAAAGUGUCUCUGGAAUUAUUCAUUCACACUCCUGGCUCAAAUGGUUUCUGGUGCCUAGCAUUAGAUGUGACAAUAAUGAUAGCUAGCUAGUCAAACCUACUGCCUUAAAGAUCAACCAAUUUGCUCCAUUCUGGUUACUUGGCAUGGUAAAUUUAUUUAACUAAAAAGAAUAAUGGGGUGAGGUGAUGUAAACCUGGCUUUCAAUAAGAUGCACAACAAAUUCUAAUAAGGCCAAAACUCUGUUGAGGUUAACUGGUGUCUUGAGUUUACUAAAAUAAAGGCAGUCCAUAGGAAGCCUCAAAGAGACAUUAUCUUACCACUUGGCACCACAAAAACACCAAGCUCUCCUCUCUGAAAAUACAGGCCGGGGGUGGUGGCUCACGCCUGUAAUCCCAGCACUUUGGGAGGCCGAGGUGGGCGGAUCACGUGGUCAGGAGUGAUCCGUCUCUACUAAACCCCGUCUCUACUAAAAAUACAAAAAAAUUAGCCGGGUGUGGUGGCACGCACCUGUGGUCUCAGCUACUCGGGAGGCUGAGGCAGAAUCCCUUGAACCCGGGAGGUGGAGGUUGCAGUCAGCUGAGAUCGCGCCACUGCACUCCAGCCUGGGCGACAGAGCAAGACCCCGUUCUCCCCCCUUCCCCAAAAAAAAAAAAAAACGAAAAAAAUACAGUUUGAAGUAGAUGUCGUCUUUUCCACAUAUAAAUCUCAAGACAUAAAAGGCACACACAAUUCAACUCCUCUCUUUUCAUAUAUGGGUUCUCACAGCAAUUUAAAAAAUCUAUUGCCAUAUCCAGACAACAGGAGAAAAAAAAAAUACCUGGUUUGCUUAUUGACAAAAGUGGUGUAAUUGAACCUUUGUCUUUCCUGAGUUUCAAAAAGGCUAUUUGACAGUAGAGAUACAUAAACAAUUCAUAUUCAGUAAGAUAAAAUGUAUCAGUCCACAAAACAUUUUCAUCUUUUUAAGUAUAAAAGAAUCAAUGUUCAACCACCACCAUGUGUGAAGCCCCUUUUUCCAAAUUAAACUUACUCUAGAAUCAUGAAUUGAAGAUUAUUCAGUCAUGGCACUUUACACCCCAAACGAGCAAAAGUAACAAGUUAAUACCCUCCCUGAGUAUUUACAUCAUCUUAUCACCUGGUUUAAAUGGAGUAAAUACCUAUAUUUCAAUCAUCUAGGAAAUAAAAAGGUUACUGAAGAUCCAAUACACUAGUAUUUCAUACCUGUGCAGUAAAGUCAGUGGGAAGAUUACAGUAGAAAAGGAGGAAGUUCUACUGUUGUAAAAAUUAGACCACUUUUGUAGCUGACUCACAUAGAGGAAAAACAGAAAAUGAUUAAAGUUCAUGAAAAAAAAACUAUACUUUUCUGUUCUACAAAGCAUACCUUUGAAUUCCCUUUCCAACUGAGGUAUCACAGCUGGGUUUAGCAAACUCAUCUCUUCUGACCUUGUAAAACUAAAUUGUCAUAAAGAUUCUGAUUAUACAUAAGUCAUCGUUACUAAUACUCAUCAUGUACUUUCAAAUGUAAAAAGUUCUAGAAAUGCCCAAAUAAAAAAAAAUUCCAGAAUUGAAUUUAGCAUGGUCAACUAAUUUUUACUUUAUGUGCUUUUUUGCUGAUCAUCACAGACUGCUAAAAUUCAUGGUGUUUGGUAUAUAUGUGUGUAUACAACCAUACUAUCUACAUACAUACACAUGUACAUAUAUAGAUUCUAAACCAAAGGUUCAUAUGAGCAUCACCUAUCAAAAGAAAAAUCUUUAUGUGAUGAGAGAAUGAAUACAAUCUGACACCAAUUUGGUUGAUAUACCCCUUUUGAUAUAUUAAUUCUACUCUAAAAUUCUUUUUUAUUUUAUCAAGUCUAAUGCUAUUAUUUAUCAAGAAUUAGUAAAGGAAGAUAAAUAUUAAAAAAUUAAAAUAUUAAGUUGGGUAACUUUAAAAAUAGUUAUUUAAAUUUUCUAAGAUUCAACCUAAGUUCUUGGUGGCCUUCAAUAUAAAUUUUAAGUACUUAAUUUAUGUAGUUUUAAAUUAUGUAGAGAAAAAAUUAAUAUUGGUGUGAGGUCUGUGUUUAAAAAAAUUCUAAAAUUGUUUUCUGAAUUGUUGUUAUCACAAAAUGGUAUCUAUCAUUUUAAAAUUAUGAUUUGAAAAAUAAAAAUUCCCUAAAAAUUUUUAAGUUUUUUAGAGUUUUCCUCAGAAUGUAGAUUCUAGCUAAGCAUUAAAGUUUAAAAAAUGUCUAUCUGAAAUCUCUGAAUCAUUCUAAAAUGAGAAAACAAUGUAGCUUACCAAUGUUAGGCUUUUUAUUUCAACCUUGGUUUUAACAGAAAUCUGGUGACACUUUAAUUACAUAU